AUUUAAUUUUCUCUAGUUUGGUUGCCGGCGCGCAAAGCCGAUACAAGCAUUGUGGGAAACAGAGGUUGGCCAGGUGACGACAAAAAAUAAUGGGGUUGGAAGCGGUCACACGUCGUCAUCAUGAGCGGGGAUUGCUGACUCUCAUGAGCUUUCCACACGUGUGAUGUGGACUAGCGAAAGUUGGCAAAGUACAUGCAGGCCAUGGCUUCCUCCAGAAAAGAGGGAUGCUGCCCCAAUGGGUUUACUGCUCAGUUUCCUAGCAGAGAUGUUGGCCUCAAGGGAUACUGCCCUAGGAUACUCCUAGAGUGUCGUAAACUAAGGGAUACUGCCAUCUCUAAAGAGUCAACCAUAAUGCGCGCUAUGAAGGCAAACCACAUGGUAAUAUAUGUAUAUCAGUCUCCAUUAUAACACCUCCCAUGAGUGUUAAACCAAUUAAUUAUCGCCA